CGUGCUAAUCUGCGAUAAGCGCCGGUAAGGUGAUAUGAACCGUUAUAACCGGCGAUACCCGAAUGGGGAAACCCAGUGUGACUCGUCACACUAUCAUUAACUGAAUCCAUAGGUUAAUGAGGCGAACCGGGGGAACUGAAACAUCUAAGUACCCCGAGGAAAAGAAAUCAACCGAGAUUCCCCCAGUAGCGGCGAGCGAACGGGGAGGAGCCCAGAGCCUGAAUCAGCAUGUGUGUUAGUGGAAGCGUCUGGAAAGGCGCGCGAUACAGGGUGACAGCCCCGUACACAAAAGCGCAUGUGCUGUGAGCUCGAUGAGUAGGGCGGGACACGUGGUAUCCUGUCUGAAUAUGGGGGGACCAUCCUCCAAGGCUAAAUACUCCUGACUGACCGAUAGUGAACCAGUACCGUGAGGGAAAGGCGAAAAGAACCCCGGCGAGGGGAGUGAAAAAGAACCUGAAACCGUGUACGUACAAGCAGUGGGAGC
rnacentral:rRNA from 1 species